rnacentral:rRNA from 1 species
GAAUUCACUAGUGAUUCAGGCCUAACACAUGCAAGUCGAGCGAACCCUUCGGGGUGAGCGGCGGACGGGUGAGUAACGCGUGGGUAACCUGCCCUAUACACACGGAUAACGUACCGAAAGGUACGCUAAUACGAGAUAACAUAUUUUUAUCGCAUGGUAGAAAUAUCAAAGCUCCGGCGGUAUAGGAUGGACCCGCGUCUGAUUAGCUAGUUGGUAAGGUAAUGGCUUACCAAGGCGACGAUCAGUAGCCGACCUGAGAGGGUGAUCGGCCAUAUUGGAACUGAGACACGGUCCAAACUCCUACGGGAGGCAGCAGUGGGGAAUAUUGCACAAUGGGCGAAAGCCUGAUGCAGCAACGCCGCGUGAGUAAAGGAGGCCUUCGGGUCGUAAAGCUCUGUCCUCAAGGAAGAUAAUGACGGUACUGA